ACCAUCGACGAUGACGAACUAGUCUCCUACAUCCUCGCCAGGCUCGACUACAACUACAACCCGAUCGUCACGUCCCUCACCGCUAGGAUCGAACCGCUCAACGUGGGAGAGGCGUACUCCCAACUGCUCGCAUUCGAGC
rfam:Setaria italica strain Yugu1 chromosome II, whole genome shotgun sequence.